AAUACGUUCCCGGACCUUGCACACGCCGCCCGUCAAGCCAUGGAAGCUGGGUGUACCUAAAGUCGGUAACCGCAAGGAGCCGCCUAGGGUAAAACUAGUGACUGGGGCU
rnacentral:rRNA from 1 species